CUUGAACAUCAUAUUCCUGCGCCAACUCAUUCUCUUCAGUAGCAUCCACUUUCGCCAACACCACAUCCUCCCCCUUCAUUUCCGUAGCUGCCGCCGCAUACUCAGGAGCCAGCGCCUGACAGUGGCCACACCACGGCGCGUAAAACUCCACCAUAACGAACUUAUGAUUAUCAAUAAAAUCGCUGAAAUUCCCUUCCUUCAAUACGACGACGUCCUUGUCGUCAAUUUCAGG
rnacentral:misc_RNA from 1 species